rnacentral:misc_RNA from 1 species
GGAGUAAAAGUCGUAACAAGGUUUCCGUAGGUGAACCUGCGGAAGGAUCAUUAUUGUAUAACCGAGGUGCGAGGGCUGUCGCUGACACGAAAGGUCGUGCACGCCCGAGUGCCCUCACACACAUCCAUCUCACCCCUAUGUGCACCACCGCGUGGGUCCCCCUUUGGCUUGUUCGGAGGGGGGCUUACGUUUUCACACAAACUUUGUAUGCAGUGUAGAAUGUAUUUUUUGUUUUUGCGAUCACGCAAUCAAUACAACUUUCAACAACGGAUCUCUUGGCUCUC